GACGAACGCUGGCGGCGUGCUUAACACAUGCAAGUCGAACGGAAAGGCCCUGCUUUUGUGGGGUGCUCGAGUGGCGAACGGGUGAGUAACACGUGAGUAACCUGCCCUUGACUUUGGGAUAACUUCAGGAAACUGGGGCUAAUACCGGAUAGGAGCUCCUGCUGCAUGGUGGGGGUUGGAAAGUUUCGGCGGUUGGGGAUGGACUCGCGGCUUAUCAGCUUGUUGGUGGGGUAGUGGCUUACCAAGGCUUUGACGGGUAGCCGGCCUGAGAGGGUGACCGGCCACAGUGGGACUGAGGUAGGGCCCAGACUCCUACGGGAGGCAGCAGUGGGGAAUAUUGCACAAUGGGCGGAAGCCGGAUGCAGCAACGCCGCGUGCGGGAUGACGGCCGUCGGGUUGUAAACCGCUUUCGCCUGUGACGAAGCGUGAGUGACGGUAAUGGGUAAAGAAGCACCGGCUAACUACGUG
rnacentral:rRNA from 1 species